UGGGCUAGAAUGCAGAUUGACCGUGGGUGAAAGCUCAUUUUGUAGCAAUACACAGUCUGUAAGGUGCUGCAUGGCUGUCGUCAGCUCGUGCCGUGAGGUGUUGGGUUAAGUCCCGCAACGAGCGCAACCCCCAUCAUUAGUUGCCAUCAGGUAAAGCUGGGAACUCUAAUGAAACUGCCGUCGUAAGACGCGAGGAAGGAGGGGAUGAUGUCAAGUCAUCAUGGCCUUUAUGCCCAGGGCUACACACGUGCUACAAUGGAAGGGACAAAGAGCUGCCACUUGGCAACAAGGCGCUAAUCUCAAAAACCCUUUCUCAGUUCAGAUUGGAGUCUGCAACUCGACUCCAUGAAGCUGGAAUCGCUAGUAAUCGUAUAUCAGCAAUGAUACGGUGAAUACGUUCCCGGACC
rnacentral:rRNA from 1 species